rnacentral:snoRNA from 1 species
GUAGUGAUGAUUCAAAUUUUUUCACGACGGUCUACAUAGCUAUGCUUUGAUGACACUGCCGGUGACACGGCUUGAAACUGAAC